ensembl:ncRNA mir-4963 mir-4963 stem loop
CUGUAGGAAAUUUUUUGGGGUACUUCUGGUUUCAUAACGCAGAGAAUCAUCAGCGUGAAGGAAUGAUUCUCUGCGGGCUGGAACCAGAAGUCCUGCAAAUGUUCUUUUA